ensembl:lncRNA
GGGGGGGCGGGGGGACGCGGGCUGCACCCCGGGCAGACGCUCUGCAAUGAGACAGUAAAUGCAUCCCCCGGAUGCCUCUGACAGUCAGGAAAAGACAGAGAUGGACGGAUCUCAGGAAAGAAGGGAGUGAUAUGCAGACUGUCUGUGAGCCAAGCAGGAAGUAGUUUCCCACUGAGGACUGCCCUGACAAGCAGAAGGAGCCUCAGCUGAAAAAUGAGGAUUUGGGCUAAAGUUCUGUGACCCCAUCCAUAGGGACCCUGCUCCCCUCCUUGUUUCCCCAAGUUGCCAUUUCUCUCCCCCCACACCUACAGCUUUAUGGCCAGGAGUGGUGGCACCCAGCACUCACUCAUACCGCGGAUCCCUGGAUUAUAACCAGCUUUUGGAGCUCAAGGUAGAUGGUGCUGGGAAGAUAGUGUCAACUAUUGGGAUGCUCCUUGAUAAAGUCACCUCCUUUCCCCUCAGGGCAGUUCCUGGGCUUAAUUGUAUAUCUGAGGGAUGUCGUCUAGUUCUUGGGCUUCUAGUCUGGCUCACUUUGCUUCUACAAAUUAAAACCAAUUCAUUUGGCCAGGCAUGGUUGUGCAAUGUCUGUAAUCCCAGCACUCCAGGAGGCUGAGCAGGAGGAGCACAAGUUUGAGCCCAGCCUGAGCAACAAAGUCACUUAGAAAGGGCCUGUCUCAAAAUAAAAAAAUAAUAAAAGGGCUAGGGAUGUAGCUCAGUACAAAGGCCUUGGUUUCAGUCUCUUGUAACACACACCCGUGUGCGUGCAUGUGUGUAUGUGUGUGUAGAGUUAAUCUGCUUCUUCCCUGCCUAGCUUGCUUCCUUCAAUGUGUGCGGUUUCAGAUUUCUCAUCUUCUUGGCUUCAUCACUGG